AAAAAAAAAAUACCUUUAAUCUAUUUUCUUAUGGAUUUUCUUUCUACCAUUCAACGAUUUAAUCAAAUCUUGUUGUUAAACUAGAUUGAGUCACAACACAUCAACAUCUUGUAGUUGGGCGGCGGUGGUGGAGAACGACGACGAUUUUUCGAUAGAGGAUUGAAAAAUUAUUGGGCACGACGACAACGACGAAAACGAUGACAUGAUGAUGAUUGAAUUUUCUUCUAAAAUAAAGUAACAAAUGAGAGUA